AAUGCCUAGGAAUCUGCCUGGUAGUGGGGGAUAACGCUCGGAAACGGACGCUAAUACCGCAUACGUCCUACGGGAGAAAGCAGGGGACCUUCGGGCCUUGCGCUAUCAGAUGAGCCUAGGUCGGAUUAGCUAGUUGGUGAGGUAAUGGCUCACCAAGGCGACGAUCCGUAACUGGUCUGAGAGGAUGAUCAGUCACACUGGAACUGAGACACGGUCCAGACUCCUACGGGAGGCAGCAGUGGGGAAUAUUGGACAAUGGGCGAAAGCCUGAUCCAGCCAUGCCGCGUGUGUGAAGAAGGUCUUCGGAUUGUAAAGCACUUUAAGUUGGGAGGAAGGGCAUUAACCUAAUACGUUAGUGUUUUGACGUUACCGACAGAAUAAGCACCGGCUAACUCUGUGCCAGCAGCCGCGGUAAUACAGAGGGUGCAAGCGUUAAUCGGAAUUACUGGGCGUAAAGCGCGCGUAGGUGGUUUGUUAAGUUGGAUGUGAAAUCCCCGGGCUCAACCUGGGAACUGCAUUCAAAACUGACAAGCUAGAGUAUGGUAGAGGGUGGUGGAAUUUCCUGUGUAGCGGUGAAAUGCGUAGAUAUAGGAAGGAACACCAGUGGCGAAGGCGACCACCUGGACUGAUACUGACACUGGGUGCGAAAGCGUGGGGAGCAAACAGGAUUAGAUACCCUGGUUGUCCCCGCCGUAACGAUGUCAACUAGCCGUUGG
rnacentral:rRNA from 1 species